AAAAUAAACUAAUGAUGAAUAUUGUUGGAUGAAACUAAGAUAGGUGUCUUGCUAUAUAAAACUUAACAUGAAGAUUUCACACAGCUUACCUGUUUAAAAGAAAAUGAAUAGUGCAGCGUUAAUUCAAAUUCAUAAAGAUCAUGCUAUUCAUAAACCUCGUUGAACCUUACUCAUGCUAGCAGUGCAGCUACAGGACAGCUUUUGUUAUUUUUAUGGCAUGUCUAUACGAAGUCAUGGGAUUAACUCUUUGCCCUGCGUCUAGACGGGAAAGGUCUGAGGAGGGUCAUGUUGUCAACAAGAUGUUUUCCUUAAGGGUUCGUCACACUGCCCUGACUGGGUGUGGGCUGCAAAGUAAGUCAUCGCUGGAAUCAAUCUUCGAUCGUCUGCUGUGGAGACACUCGUUACUCGCGAAGUUGUUCUCUUUGGGGUCCGUAGCAUUGCAAGAGUUCGAGAAGCAGCAGGGGAGGACGGAUCGCCAGUUACCUGCAGGCUGCCUGGGCGCAGACGACUACAAACAAACAAACAAGCAGUUGCCACGGUUGCCAGUCUCCAAUACCUGUCUAUGUAUUGAUCACAAUACCACAAUACCUGUCUAUGUAUUGAUGCCGUGAGCACAACUCACCACGCAGUAGCUUGGUGACGUCGAUUGCUGUUGCCGAUCCUGCCUACCGGAAAAGCGCCCUCCUGCCAUCUACAAUGCAUUCGAAUCGUCGCGCAUACGAAUUUGUCUUGGAAAUUUGCCAGGAAAUCCGGGAGAGCGAUGGGUAGUGGUGGUAGUGGGGCUGCUCUUGGUCAAAGGCCAAAAACUGAUCGUUUGCGUCAUCACAACUCUCCCUCUACCCUCGUUACGUCGGGUAUUCAAUAGCGAUUGGCACAUUGCCGACCUGUGACCUUAAAUGUGCGUGAAUCACUGCCCACUAAAACGACAGCAUGUACGUGAUAGCAGGUGGAAAGGGUUAAAGUCCAAGUUCACACAAGCUACUGAAUGACACAAGGCGAUUUUUUUUUGGGGUGGUGGGGGAAAAAAACCGUCCACUUGGGAUCACGUGAUCAUCUGGAGGCAUAAUGUCAGACGUCACCUAUCUCAAGAAAGGGUGGGCGGCUUAUUUCGGGUACUCGUACCGCCUGUCAGGCAAGCUUCACAGUGAGCGAGGGAAGGCUGUCAGCACGCUGUUGUGUGGCUCACAGUAUCUAUUAUCAUAUUACCUUGUAUUAGCUUGUAUUAUCCAGCUGUAGAGGGUUUUUACAUAUUUUGAAAGGAUCGCGACGUCAUCAACUACUAUUUUGGUAAAUGUUGUACACAUGUCUAUCUUAUUUGUCCUGUACGGUUGGUCCUUUGAGAUACUACCAAAGUAAAAAAAAAAUUAAGGCGAUGAACUUAAGAAAUUAGUUGAAAGAUGAAGGAGAGAAUGGCUACGUGAAAUACUUUCAAUUUACUUACCGAUCAUCGCAAACUGGGACAUCGUCAUUUCGCCAGCGGUAAGUGAACUAUUUUUAUGGAUGAUUUUAAAUAAAAUUGUAAUAUAAAUUUAUAUUAUUAAUAAUUGAAUUGUAAAAGUAUAUUUUCUUAUGUGGAGGUGAGCUCAGUGAGCUUUGCUCAAAAGAUUAAACGAACCGGCAUACAAUACAUCACACAUUUAAAAACGAUGCUUUUAAGUUACACAAUGAGUGAGCAGAAAAGUUGAUAGUACGAAGUAUUUAUUGAAUAAAUAAGCUUUAAGACACAAUAAGGUGACACAUUUUGAAACAUAUUUAUCCUUUGUUAGGUACAGUUAGCAUAAGAAAAAUGACAGGCAACGGCAAUGUGUAAUUUAAGUGGGUGUGGAGGUUUUUUUUUUCUCCAUUGUGACCAAAAUAAAUACAGACAUUAGCUUCUGCAUGCAUUUUCACAGGUGUACAUGUUUUCACAGGUGUACAAGUUCACACACUAGAUACAGUGGUGGAGGAAGGGGUCAGAGGUGCAAAAGAGCUGCCAGGAGGAGGUUGACAGGAGCAAGAAAAGAAUUUACUCAUUUAUUUUAGGAAAAGCAUAAAUUUGCUCACAGCCACUGACAGAUCUUUGUGUUUUGCUCAAUGAAAGAGCUGUCACAUGUUGUCUGCAUGAAAUCUGUGACGAUUGGAAUGAUCCAAAGGACAAUAAAAUUCACAAAUUCUAAAUA